ensembl:lncRNA
UGACAGAAGAAGCCCGUGUCUUUAAUUUCUAUUUUUCUCAGUUUGUCUCAGGCACAAGUCUGUCGUCAGGUUCUCUCAUCCGGAGACCUGUAACAUAUAGUAUCACUGGUACUGUAGUGCUGUGCAUGGGCCUGCUGUGCUGCAUUUGUCUUCUCCAGAGAAGGCUGGAAGCAGAUGCCAGCCUGAAAAAUGUUUUAUAUUUUAUCUUACCUGUUGCCAGGAUGUUCUUGGUCCAGUCUUGUUUGUUCUGUAGGAAUAUGUUUGACACAGCUUAUAGAGAAUGUGGUGGCCACAGGAGACAGUUUUGAGAGGCGAGGCUGGGGCCAGGGGACCGCCCAUUCGCGUUCCCACAGAGACUCUGGGACGCAGCCAACAGGUUGCUGCAGCCGGAGGGCGCGGGAGGAGCGCCGGCGGUGGUGGAGAAGGUGGUGGUGGAAGAGCUACUGGAGAGUCUGCCGCCGCCGCCCCUCGCGGAGGACCACCUGGCUUUCACCCCGGCGGGCAGGGAGAGGGCGGUCGGCCAGCCACAUCACCACAGCCCGUCCCCGCGCCACAAAGGAUCCUGGGUGGUACACAUCAGGCGAUGGUGGAUUCGGGCUGCACGCAGUCCAUGAUUCACCAGAGGCUGGUUCAACCCCGGGGCAUUGGUGGAGGCAACCCAGUACGGGAGGUUCCCCAGGUCUCCACUGGAUUUUCUCCCUUCGAGCUGUUGUUUGGCAGGAAACCACGGGGGGUGCUCGACCUGCUUAAGGAACACUGGGAGGAGGGUCCGAGCCCCGGUAAGAACGAGAUUCAGUAGGUCCUGGACCUGCGAGCCAAACUCCACACACUGGGUGAGUUUUCACGUGAGAAUUUGCUCCAGGCCCAGGAGCGUCAACAAUGGCUGUACAACAGAGGGGCCAAGCUGAGACAAUUUACACCGGGAGAGAAGGUACUUGUAUUGCUUCCUUCUUCUAGCUCGAAAAUACUCGCCAAGUGGCAAGGGCCCUUUGUGGUUACACGGCGGGUAGGGGACGUCGACUAUGAGGUGGUGCGAUCUGACAGGGGCGGGGCUACACAGAUCUACCACCUCAACCUCCUCAAAGCAUGGAGGGAGGCGGAGUCCGUGUCCCUGGUGUCUGCAGUAGCGGAGAGAGAGGAGCUGGGCCCAGAGGUCCCAAAGUCCACCGAUCCGACCCGGCUCCCGUUCGACGCCCAUCUCUCGGCAGCCCAGCAAGCGGACAUAGCCCGGUUGCAAGACCGUUUUAAUGAUGUGUUCUCCUCCCUGCCAGGUCGCACGGAUCUCAUAGCACACAACUUUGAGACGUCCCCGGGCGUGACGGUGCGGUCACGGCCCUACAGAUUACCUGAACCCAAAAGGAAAAUUGUUCAGCGAGAAUUGGCCGCUAUGCUGGAGAUGGGGGUAAUAAAGGAGUCCAACAGUGCCUGGUGCAGCCCCAUCGUUCUUGUCGCCAAGAAGGACGGCUCGAUAAGGUUCUGCGUGGACUAUCGCAGGGUGAAUGCGGUGUCACGGUUUGAUGCCUACCCGAUGCCCCGGGUCGACGAACUCCUGGACCAAUUGGGCACCGCGCGUUUUUUUACGACACUGGAUUUUACCAAGGGCUACUGGCAGAUUCCCUUGUCACCAGAGUCCAGGGAAAAGUUGUCUUUCUCCUCUCCGUUUGGAUUAUACUAAUUCACCACGCUUCCCUUCGAGUUGUUCGGUGCCCCGGGCACCUUCCAGCGCCUCAUGGACCGGGUGCUGCGUCCGCAUGCGGCCUAUGCUGCUGCCUACCUGGAUGACGUCAUCAUACACAGCGCCACAUGGGCGGAGCAUGUGGAGCGGGUGGGCCAUGGUCGUGGCGUGGGGGAGUCGGUUCGCCCUGAUGGCUCCCCGGCCUGAGUCGGGGCG